rnacentral:misc_RNA from 1 species
AAGUCGUAACAAGGUUUCCGUAGGUGAACCUGCGGAAGGAUCAUUAAAGAGAACUUGCCCUUCGGGGUAUAUCUCCCACCCUAUGUUUACAUACCUUUGUUGCUUUGGCGGGCCCGUCUCACGACCACCGGCACUUUCGCUGGUCAGUGCCCGCCGGAGGACCCCAACUCUAAAUUUUAUGUCGUCUGAGUACUAUAUAAUAGUUAAAA